rnacentral:lncRNA from 1 species
AGAACGGAAGUAGCCCUGGUCUUACCUACGCUCGUGGACGAGUCGCGUGGAGCUGUCGGCUCCCUGUUCUGCGCGUGCGAUUGCGUUGAGACGCUCCGUGAGGUAUGCGGCGGUGGGAGCCUUGGGGCUGAUGACACGGGAGCUUCGGCGUGGAGGGAGGAGACUUCAUGCCUGUCACCUCGGCUUCCUGGCCUGGGUCUCCGGGUUUCGUGCUAAGCACAGUUGGCUUGGGAUGGGAGGUCUUAUUCCCUCAAUCCCCUCGGAGCUAGCAGUUCAUGCAAGCCAUGCUGUCCUCUGCAGGUACCUUAAGUGCCUUCUCUACGUGAUCGCCAGACUGUUUGGUGCCUCGGUCUCAUCGGGUCUAUAAUGGGAACUAUAGAGUCCCAGCGAAGUAGACCUUGUGAGCUAUACUGUUUCUACGAAGCAUGCACCCAUAACAGAACAAACCUUACAUUUUUCGUUCGUCGUCCCUUUCACAGUCUCACUCGGCUACUAAAGUUUUCUUCCUAGGUAUCCCAGAACCAACCAGGCUGCCCUGCGUCUUCAUUUAUACCUCGUCUUGGUUCUCAUGGUUUCCCUGAUGUGCAUCGUUUAAAUCCUUACACUGGCUUUCACUUCUGUCCAAUCUGUAGACUGAGGAAUAUUCUCCAUUAUUUUGUCACGUUCCCCAUGGCUCUGAAGUACCAAGUAAACGCAAACUAUUAAUUUUUUAAGUAUCUUUCACCAAAGAGCCAAAUUAUUUUCUAAAAUAUAAGUUGUUACCAUGCUUUAUUUUCCCUGUAGCUUAAUUGAAUAAUUCAGCUUUUUAGAAAGCCUUUGAAGAGUUGUUUGACAGGCAACUGGUUGGUGUAUUUUGAGAAAUAAACUUUUUCUUUCUUUCUUUCUUUCUUUUUUUUUUUUUUUUUUUGAGACAUAGUUUCUCUGUAUAGCUCUGGCUGUCCUGGAACUCACUUUGUAGACCAGGCUGGCCUCGAACUCAGAAAUCCGCCUGCCUCUGCCUCCCAAAGUGCUGGGAUUAAAGGCAUGUGUCAUCACGCCUGGCAAACUUUUUCUUGUUUCUCUGUUGUUGUUGUUGUUGUUGUUGUUUUUAGCAUUGUCUACCAUCAUAUUUCUAUUUACUAUUAUUAUAGUUAUUUUUGAGACAGGGUCUCAUUAUGGAGUCCUGUCUUGUCUGAAACUCACAGAGAUAGGCCUUCCUCUGCCUCCCAAGUGCUGGAGUUAAAGGCAUGGACCACCAGACCCGGUUCUUUAUUUAUUUAAUGUACAGCUCAAAAGCAUCAUUCUUAUGAAGUGUUCAUCUUUACAGAAUCCUGCCACUUCUCUUUUGUUUAUGCAUUAUAAUCUGACUUGUAUCUUAAAUUACUUUUUUCCCCCCUGAGACAGGGUUUCUCUGUAUAGCCCUGGCUGUCCUGGAACUCACUCUGUAGACCAGGCUGGCCUUGAACUCAAAAUCCGCCUGCCUCUGCCUCCCAAGUGCUGGGAUUAAAGGCGUGCGCCACCACUGCCCGGCUUACCUUAAUUUACCUACAUUUUGUUUUCUAAAUAAUGUAUGUUUGGCGGUAUGGAAUUAUAUAUAUAUACACACACCUCACAUAAUUACAAUGAUUAACACUAAAUGAACAUUUGCUACAUAGAAUGCAUUUCCUGGAAGAUCGUGCACAGUGUAUAGUUUGUGGUUUUGAGGUAGACAAUAUUGG